rnacentral:rRNA from 1 species
AGUGAACGCUGGCGGUAGGCCUAACACAUGCAAGUCGAACGGCAGCACAGUAAUAGCUUGCUCUUACGGGUGGCGAGUGGCGGACGGGGGAGGAAAACAUCGGAAUCUGCGUUUGCGUGGGGGGUAACGUAGGGAAACUUACGCUAAUACCGCAUACGACCUACGGGGGAAAGCAGAGGAUCUUCGGACCUUGCGCGAUUCAAUGAGCCGAUGUCGGAUUAGCUAGUUGGCGGGGUAAAGGCCCACCAAGGCGACGAUCCGUAGCUGGUCUGAGAGGAUGAUCAGCCACACUGGAACUGAGACACGGUCCAGACUCCUACGGGAGGCAGCAGUGGGGAAUAUUGGACAAUGGGCGCAAGCCUGAUCCAGCCAUGCCGCGUGGGUGAAGAAGGCCUUCGGGUUGUAAAGCCCUUUUGUUGGGAAAGAAAAGCAGCAGGUUAAUACCCCGCUGUUCUGACGGUACCCAAAGAAUAAGCACCGGCUAACUUCGUG